UACAGAGAUCAAAACAUCAGAGCAUUGGAAGAGCUAAAAGCUUCAGUCCAGCUAUCUAACAAGAGUGUGAGUGUCUACACAUAAAACAUCAGCACUAGUUCGCUUUCCAAGAGAAGUCCAAUCCAAAGAUGUCUGGGUCAAGAAGCUCUUCUUCCCACAACGUUAACAUGGCCUCCACGUGGAGCAAAAGAGAGGAAAAGCUGUUUGAAGAGGCCCUGGCCUACUAUGGCGAGGGCACACCCGACCGCUGGCACAAGGUGUCCCGCGCCAUGGGUGGCAGCAAGACGGCCGACGAGGUGCGCCGUCAAUACGAGAUACUAGAAGAUGACGUCAAGCUCAUUGAGUCUGGCAGGGUUCCGUUCCCCAGGUACAACACACAGGGAGCUUGGAACUAAGGAGUGAAGGAUGUCAAGAACCACCAGACCGGAACUACUGCUACAUGUUAGCAAUUGAAGGAAACAUGCUGAUAUAUACUGUGGUUGUAUUAUGAAGUUAAUGAUUGCUUGGUUAACAAUAAAAGGAGCUACCAACGAUACUUAUGUGUGUUAUGUGUAUUAGUGUAUAUAACUUUAAGUUGUAAGCAAAUCAACCCUUAUGAUAAAGAAAUUAGGGUGCACUAUCUGCCCAUAGUGUGUAGUCAUGGUCCCCCAGGAAUACUUGUGCAGUAAACAGUGAUGCAAAGCUCUUGUAAUGGUUUGCUAAUUAUAAAAUGGUGCUUGGUUGAAAUUAA